AACCUGCAAAGCAAAAGCUUGACAAACGGUAUCAUCUACCUGCAUCAACAAAGGCGUACAAGUUACUUGAAGAUGAGACAAAAGAAAAAUUCAAGGAAUAUUACAGACAAGAAAAAAUGGACUACUUCUGGAUGCAACCAAGGCAAAGGUCCAUGGCGAUUGACCUUGUUGUCCUAAAAAUAGAUAUGACGUCAUUGUUUGUGGAUGGAGCAAUCGACGCCAACAUAAUUGAUGCUUCGUUCUACACAAUGGCAGAAAACGAAUAAAAAAUAGGGCAACAACAAAAUCUGUAUCUUCCUUCAUUCAUCUUUAAUGAUAUGGAGAUUGAAAAAAGCAAGAGUGAUCAGGAGCACAUUGACCAAACAUUGAAGACAGUCUUACAAGAUAAUGUGG